rfam:Triticum urartu cultivar G1812 contig5822, whole genome shotgun sequence.
UGAUGAUGAUGAUAAAUUUAAGGCUUGUUUCUCAAAACAUUUGCAGAUGCCUCUUAAGAGCUUUCACCCAGCCAGGCUUGAGAGGUAAUGCUACUAAUUCUUUCCUUGAAUGUUUGAGCCU